UACAGAGGGGGCAAGCGUUAUUCGGAAUUAUUGGGCGUAAAGGGCGCGUAGGCGGCUUGGCAAGUGGAAGGUGAAAUCCCUCGGCUUAACCGAGGAACUGCCCUCCAAACUGCUUCGCUUGAGACCGGGAGAGGUGAGUGGAACUCCCAGUGUAGCGGUGAAAUGCGUAGAUAUUGGGAGGAACACCAGUGGCGAAGGCGGCUCACUGGACCGGUACUGACGCUGAUGCGCGAAAGCGUGGGGAGCAAACGGG
rnacentral:rRNA from 1 species